AUUGAACGCUGGCGGAAUGCUUUACACAUGCAAGUCGAGCGGCAGCGCGGGGCAACCUGGCGGCGAGCGGCGAACGGGUGAGUAAUACAUCGGAACGUACCCAGUUGUGGGGGAUAGCCCGGCGAAAGCCGGAUUAAUACCGCAUACGACCUGAGGGUGAAAGCGGGGGAUCGCAAGACCUCGCGCAAUUGGAGCGGCCGAUGGCGGAUUAGCUAGUUGGUAGGGUAAUGGCCUACCAAGGCGACGAUCCGUAGCGGGUCUGAGAGGACGGCCCGCCACACUGGAACUGAGACACGGUCCAGACUCCUACGGGAGGCAGCAGUGGGGAAUUUUGGACAAUGGGGGAAACCCUGAUCCAGCCAUUCCGCGUGAGUGAAGAAGGCCUUCGGGUUGUAAAGCUCUUUCGGCAGGAACGAAACGGUGGGUCCUAAUACGAUCUGCUAAUGACGGUACCUGAAGAAGAAGCACCGGCUAACUACGUGCCAGCCGCCGCCGUAA
rnacentral:rRNA from 1 species